rnacentral:lncRNA from 1 species
AAAGGUUUGGGGAGCAUGAAGAAGAUGCAGGUUUCCACAACCCCCUGAUCUUCUGCACCCCUACUGGUUUCCUCCACCCAUAGAGGAGUUGAGUAUCCGUUCGAAGCAUCAUCAAUUGAAAUCGCCCUGGAAUCACCUGUGACUAAACAAGGGAAAUGAGUAUAGACUACAAAGUGUGAUAAACUCACAGCCUUAUUGAGAGAAAAGAACAAAACAAAACAUACAGCAUCCGCUCUCAGGUGAGCUCUACAUGGGCAGAGAUCCCGUAGAGAGGUAAGUAGGCAGCUUCCACACCUUCUGCCCAAAUCACAGCAUUACAGAAAGCCAGAGUGGAAUGUUGGGCUCUGCCUGUUUCUUUACUGCAGAGCUUCUUAGAGACUUUAGUCAUCUAAUGCCCAGGGCGGCUCUUCAUGGAGGGUGUCUUAGUCCAUUUUGUGUUGCUAUAAAGAAAUAGCUGAGGCUGGGUGAUUUAUAAUGAAAAGGAGUUUAUUUGCCUCUGCAGUUCUGCAGGCUGUACAGGAAGCACGGCACUGGCAUAUGCAUCUGGUGAGGACUUCAGGCUGCUUCUACUCAUGAUGGAAAGCAAAGGGGGACAGGCACGGUGGCUCACUCCUGUAAUCCCAGCACUUUGGGAGGCCAAGGUGGGUGAAUUACUUGAGCCCAGGAAUUUGAGACCAGCCUGGGCAACAAAGUGAAACCCCGUCUGUUUAAAAAGAAAAAAAGAAAGUGAAGGGGAGCCUGUGUGUGAAGAGAACACGUGGUGAGAGAGGAAGCAGAAGAGAGAGGGGAGGUGCCAGGCUCUUUCUAAACACCAGCUCUCUUGAGAACUAACAGAGUGAGAACUCACUCACCCCUGAGGGAGGCCAUUAAUCUAUUCAGGAGGGAUCCACUGCCAUGACCCAAACACCUCCCAUUAGGUUCCACCUCCAACAUUUGGAUCAAAUUUCAC